rnacentral:misc_RNA from 1 species
GGAUUGCACGGAAAAAUCAAAGAACUAGGUGCAACUAUGGACAUGUUUACUAUGCUCAAGUCAAGGUCUCUUACCACGGUUAGAUUUCUAACAAGCUUUUCAAAAAUCAUUGGUUCUAUACUCAAACCACCAUAAGAAUCAAAACCAAUAUUCCAAGACAGAUCAAUUGUAACCAAUUUGGAUAGAUGACUGAUAUCUGUGAUUUUUCCGUGCAAUCCACAAUCGGUAAGUCUGAGUGAUGUCAAAGAAGAAGACAAAUUCGUCAAGGAACUAGGUGCGACCAAA